CUUGGGUCAUUUAGAGGAAGUAAAAGUCGUAACAAGGUCUCCGUUGGUGAACCAGCGGAGGGAUCAUUACGAGAGUGUCACCACUCCCAACCCAUUGUUUACCUACCCGUCCACCGUGCUUCGGCAGGCAGUCCUGUGGGACAGGGCCUCGCCCCCUCCGGGGGGUGCCUGCCGCUGGCCAACCAACCAUUCUAGCUGUUUUUGUACCAUCUGAGUCUUCCACAAAUAAACAAAACUUUCAACAACGGAUCUCUUGGUUCUGGCAUCGAUGAAGAACGCAGCGAAAUGCGAUAAGUAAUGUGAAUUGCAGAAUUCAGUGAAUCAUCGAAUCUUUGAACGCACAUUGCGCCCACUAGUAUUCUGGUGGGCAUGCCUGUUCGAGCGUCAUUUCAACCCUCAAGCCUGGCUUGGUGUUGGGGCUCUGCGCCUGCAGUCCCUUAAAUCCAGUGGCGGACACGCUAGGUCUCCGAGCGCAGUAGUUUCUUCUCGCUCAGGGCGUCCGGCGUGGGCUUGCCUCGCACCCAUCUUAUCAAGGUUGACCUCGGAUCAGGUAGGAAUACCCGCUGAACUUAAGCAUAUCAAUAAGCGGAGGAAAAGAAACCAACAGGGAUUGCCCCAGUAACGGCGAGUGAAGCGGCAACAGCUCAAAUUUGAAAUCUGGCGCAAGCCCGAGUUGUAAUUUGCAGAGGAUGCUUUUGGCGCGGUGCCUCCUGAGUUCCCUGGAACGGGACGCCAGAGAGGGUGAGAGCCCCGUACAGUUGGACACCAAGCCUUUGUAAAGCUCCUUCGACGAGUCGAGUUGUUUGGGAAU
rnacentral:sRNA from 1 species